GGGCAGAGAGAGAGAGGGAGAGAGUGAAUCCCAAGCAGGCUCCAUGUUGUCAGCGCCGAGCCCCACGCGGGGUUUGAUCCCAUGAACCGUGAGAUCAUGACCUGAGCUGAAACCAAGAGUCUGAUGCUUAACCAACUGAACCACCCAGGCGCCCCACCAAACAAGUUUUUUUUUUUUUUAAUCUGAGAAAGGAAGGAAGGAAGAAAGGAGGAGUUUUAGCAGAAUUACUUGGGUGGUAGAGGCCUCUCGAAAGCACCUUGCCUCUCACAGGUAGCAGAGAAGGAAGAACGAGAAACUGGAGGGGAGACUUUCCUGCUCCCAUUUCCUGCACGAAGAAACUCCCUCUUAAAGUGAGUUGGUACAACCCAUCUGCAGGGUAUAUUUGUCUUAUCCAUCCAUUUGGAUCCCAUUCUUGUUGCAGAAAUUAUCCUUGAGAGGCAAUAGAACAAAUGUGCAAAGAUGAAUAUGUUGGGAUGCACAUUAGUGACAAGCGAGACAAUUAAAGACAACGUAACGUCUGUCAAGGCAAGACAUUAUUUAAUGUGUGGUAAAUGUAUCAUGCUAUACCCCCACAUAUCACAAUGAACUGCCAUUCAAAUGGUGAUCCAUAUUUCUUGCCUGGAGAGAUAAUGAGAAGUGCUAUUUAAUGAGUGUUGACCGUGUGGCAGGUGUUUUACAUAUAUGGUGUUACUCAAUGCUCAUAACCUAGUUUAAGGGAUGAUAAUCCUCAUUUCACCGAUGAGGAAAAUGGCCUGAGGUUAAGUAGGACCAAAUCACAGAUUCAGGAAGCAGUCGGUUAAGAUUUAAACUUUACAGCCCACUGCUGAAACAUCUUUGCCCAUAGCACUUUUUUUUUUUUUUUAAUUUUCGAGACUGAGAGAGAGAGAGAGCACAAGCCAGGGAGAGGGGCAGAAGAAGAGAGAGAGAAUCUUAAGCAGGCUCCAUGCUCAGCGAGGAACCAGAUCCACAGCCCUGGGAUGAUGACCUGCGCUGAAAUCGAGAGUCGGAUGCUGGACCAACUGAGCCACCCAGGUGCCUCUCACAGCACCUUUUUGGAUGAAAUGAUUAAGGUAAUAAAGGGACUCCAUUUACACAAGUCCAUAUACAGAAACAGGAAAGCAGGAGAGUUGGAGAAAUCACCCAAUGGGUGAGACCUACAGGCUUUGGAGUAAGAGUGAGAUCAAAUCCCAGCUCCCCACAUAACCUCGAUCAAGUAACUGGACAUCUCUAGCACUUCGGUUCUCGUAAUUAUAAAAGAAAGGCAAUGUGGCCCAUCUCAUGAAUUUGUUAUAAGAUUAAACACUAAUUGGGAGCUAUCAUAUAAUGCAAAGAGACAUCUGGAAAGCUGUUCACCUGUGUACAAACAGAGGUCGUAUCACUAAGGAGCAAUAUUUGGAGGUGAUUUUUAUUUUAUUUUUUUCUGCGUGUCUUCGUAUCGUUUUCAAGACAGGAAAUCCAGGAAAGCUUUUUUUUGUUUGUUUGUUUUGGAAAAUAAUAAUCAGGUGGCAAAGAAUGGGGGUGAGGAGGAAAAGGGAGAGAAGAUGAAUUCAGUGAAGGGGAUGUGGCAGCAUCCUUGCUAAACUGCUGCCAGGGGGGUUGAGAGCUUGAAUCAGAGCGUUCUGCCUCAUGAAUGAGCAUAAUGUGCAUUUUCAUCAGCUCAAAGAACAUUCGGUAGGAGUCAUACAGGUCUGACUGUAGAGGAGGACUUUUGCUAGGGCGGCUGUUACCAGGCCUGGCCCAUGUCUCUGUGCCCUUGGCCAGAUUCCUGACUUCUCCAGAAGCUCUGCUCUUUCCUCUGGGAAGGAAAGCAGUCUGAAAAAGGAAUCGUGUGAAGAUAUAAGGGAUUCGUCAAGUUAUGGGAGUCCUCUCUAAGUCAGUAUAUUAAUUAAAAAAAAAAAAAAAAAGAGGGGCACCUGGGUGGCUCAGUCGGUUAAGCGUCUGACUCCGUUUCAGCUCUGGUCAUGAUCUCAGGGUUAGUGGGUUCAAGCCCCACCCUGUGAGUGCAGAGCCUGCUUAGGAUUCUCUCUCUCCCUCUCUCUCUCGGCCCUUCCCCUGCUAGGGUUCUCUCUCUCUCCCUCAAAAUAAAUAAAUAAAAUUAAAAAAAAAGAAGAAUUCAGUGGAACUCUUGGCCUCUGAGGGAGAGACUAUAUUUGUCUAACCACUUAAAGUUAAUUUAGAUUUGUACCAAACUCUUAGAAUUAUACAGUUUUUAAAAUCUUUUUUUAAUGUUUAUUCAUUUUUGAGAGAGACAGAGCGUGAAUGGGGGAGGGGCAAAGAGAGAAGGAGACACAGAAUCCGAAGCGGGCUCCAGGCUCUGAGCUGUCAGCACAGGACCCAACGCGGGGCUCGAACCUGUGAACCGUGAGAUCAUGACCCGAGCCGACGUUGGAUGUUUACCCAACUGAGCCACCCAGGAGUCCCAGAACUAUACAUACAUUUUGAUCUAGCAAUUCUACUUUUAAGAAUUUACCCCAAGGAAAUAAUCAUAAGUAUACAAAAUGUGUAGCUAUAGGAAUAUUCAUUAUAGUACCCCUUUAUAAUUGUGAAAAUUAAGUCCUGACUACACGUCCAAUAGGGGAUUGCAUAAAUUACAUAGCUCUGUUCAGUGUAAAACAUAGGCCCCUCUCAAAGUGCUGUUGUAGGAGUAUAUUUAUUGUCAUGGUGAAACGUUCAUGAUAUGAUAUUAAGUAAAAAAAGCCAGGCCCAAAACAAAGUAUUCCCAAGGUGAAAAAAGGAUAUUUACACUAAGGCUUUUGAAACAUAGCAAACUGUUAGCAGUAUUUGUUUCUGAACUGUAUGAGAUUAUUUUCUUCUGUUCACUUAUUGAAUAUAUAUCACUUGGGGAAUAAAUAAGUAAUGUUAUUAUAAUUUUUUUUUAAGGCAAAGGAACCCAAAGUAUAGCCACACUGCUCUGCAUCACCCUAGGCCGCUAACUUCACGAGGACAUGUACCACCCCUGCUUUAGUCCGUCAUUAUGAUGCCAGCACCUGUCACGAUGCCUGACGUGGUAAAGUUCUUCAUAUAUAUUUGUCGAAUGAAUGAAUGAAAUGUAUGAAGAAACAAAGUGAUGGCAACAGGGGGCCCAGAUAGAAGAGAAACUCAAAACAAACUCAACAUACAGCUGCUUGACCUCCUCCGUGUAAUUUGGUAGGUGAGCUCUGUAGGAUGAGACCCAGGCAUCUUUUUUUUUUUAAUGCUUAUUUAUUUAUUUAUUUAUUUAUUUAGAGAGAGUUCACGGGUGAAUGGGGGAAGAGCAGAGAGAGAAGGAGAAAGAGAAUCCCAAGCAGACUCCGCACUCAGCUCAGAGCCCGACAUGGGGCUUGAUCUCACGACCAUGAGGUCAUGACCUGAGCUGAAAUCAAGAGUUGGAUGCUUAACCGACUAAGCCACCCCGGCUUAGUUCAUCUUGGAACCCCUCACGGUGCCUUGCAUAUAGCAGGGGGUGCUCAAUAAAUGUUGCAUGAAAAUAUAAACAAUGGUUUGUCUUUUUCCUCCUGGCAUCAUUUCUGCAGACUUUCCAGUAACAUGUAAACGCAUGCCUGGUGGCAGGUCAUGUGCAAGAGCUGUAAUAAUGGCCAUGGCAACAGGAAGCUGUGGCAGUUGGGGUUAGGUUUGUUGUAAAGUAACAGAAAAAAAAAAACAACAAAGAAUGAUUUUUUUAAAUGAAAAGUUCAUUUCUUUCUAAUGUUUAAGAGAUCUAGAGGCAGGCAGCCCAGAGUUAGAAGAGAGUUCUGUGGUGUUAGGGACCCAGUUUUAUUCUCUUUUUUGCUCUGCCACAAUGGCUUCCAUUCCCAAAGUCAACUCAUGGUCCAAAAUGGCUCCUGGAGCUCCAAUCAUUUCAUCAGAAUUCCAGCAAGAAGAAAAGAAUAAGAGAAGAGAUACCUGCUCCCUCUCCAGAAGUUGCAUACAUGACCUCCACUAUAUCCCAUUGACCAGAGCUUUGUCAAGGGAGCCUGAUGAAUGUAAUUUUUAUUCUGGGAUAUCUUGUUCCCAGUUCAUGAUUGGCGGUUCUCUAACCGUGGAAGAAAAGAAAAACUGAUAUUGGAAAACAACUGGCAGCUUCUGUCACCGAGGUGUCAUUGACCAUCCUAUCACUAGCCAACCAGAGUCUCAUCGAAUGCAUAGCACCUGCAAAGGAAAGUCACCGGGUACUUGGGGCUGCUGCUGACAAACACUGCUCUUUAGUUGCCUUUUAACGACACAUUUCCAUUUCUAGCACAAUCUCUGCCGCUGCCACAGGGGUGAUCGGGGUCACUGCUUUCUCCCUAGCAGAGCUGGACCAUAAACCAGAAGUCAGCAUCUUUCCUGCUUCAGCAAUCACUUAUGUCCUGCCGAUCAUGACUGGCUACAGCAUUCAAAUCAUCAGAGAAAUCCAGAAGUGCUGUGAGGGAGUCUCAUUACAUAAAUGAGGAAAGAAACAGAGGAGGCUAAAAGUCUCAAAGUUUAUCUUUAAGGUAUUGGAGUGAGGCCACGGGGUGCUGCCCUUCCUGACAUCACCAUGGGUCUGGCGGGCCACUAGACGUGAGAGGAGAGAAGAAAUGGUUGGCCCUUAGAGCAAAAGACAAGGAAGCGUUCUUUCUUUGUGGAAAUGAUACGAAGCAGAGAAUCAUAAUCCUCUUAGCAGCUGCCAUUUAGUUAGGUGUUGGGCAAGUCCUUUGGUUGCCAACAUCCAAGGCAGCCCGUCACGAUCCUCACUUCCCAGCAUGCAUGUGCUUACAUGGUCCCCUUCUGUGUGGAAUCAGGAUUGACCUGUACGACCAACAGAAUGCAGUGGAGGUGGUGAUGUGCGACUCCUGGGGCUAAGUGGUAAAAGGUAUUGCAACUUCUGCCUUGUCCUUGGAUGGAUUGCACUCGGGGAAGCCAGUCACCAUGCACUAAAGACACUACAAGUCCUGUAGACAGGCCUGUGUGGAGAGGAACCAAGAUAUCCUGCUAAGCACCAACUUCUCGACCGAACAUAGUGACCAACACUAGAUGUGGUUCCUCCAGCUCCUGUCUAUCCAUCAGAUGAACUGCAGCCCAGGCUGCCAUUGGGCUGAACUGGAUGAGAAGUUCCAUCCAGGGGCGUCUGGGUGGCUCAGUCGGUUAAGCAUCCACCUUCGGCUCAGGUCAUGAUCUCAUGGGUUCAAGUGGGUUCAAGUCCCGUGUCGGGCUCUGUGCUGACAGCUUGGAGCCUGGAGCCUGGAGCCUGUUUCAGAUACUGUGUGUGUGUGUGUGUCUCUCUCUCUCUCUCUACCCGCUCCCCCACCUAUCCUCUGUCUGUCUGUCUCUCUCAAGUGAAUAAACUUAAAAACAGAUGAUUUUUUAAAAAAGAAAUUCCAUCCAGAACCAUCCAGCUGAGCCGCUCCUAAAUUCCUGACCCUCAAAAACCAUGAGAUACUAAAAAGACUUAUUGUUGCUUUAAGCCACUAUGUUGGGGGGUAAUUUGUCAUGCGGCAGUAGAUAACUAACACAUCCUUUAUAUAUAACGUAUUUAUCACCACAACACUCUGAACUAGGCAUUAUGACCCCCAUUUUACUGACAGGGAGACCAAGGCCUGGAAAGGUUAGUUUGUUUUCCCCAGUCAGAGCAGCUGGUGAGGCCAAGCUGGCACUCCAGGUUAGCUCUGCCCGCACAAAACCUGUGCACUGAACAGCUGCUCGCUGUGCUAGAGACCGUGGGGACCCAUCUAGGACUUCCACAAUGCCUGGAAACAGAGCUAAAUGCUCCCGAAUGAACUGAGUGGUCUUGUUACGGUGAGGUUUACCUGCUAACAUCUGGGAUUAUGCAGGCCCAAUAGACAGUUGUGGGUCUGUGGCCUAAAAUCCACAGCCAGCGUGAAACUCAAGGGCACAGUCAUGCUGUGAAACAUCAGGCACUGCCUGCCGUGGGAGCCCCAUUUAGGCCCUUGGGAUGCAGAAAUGUUCCUGAAGUCACAGCAGAAGUUUAAACAGCCUCUGGACAGUUGUCUCGCAUGAGGUCUCACUAGAUCAAGUUUUAAAGUUUUCUGAAUACAGAGGGCCGGGAUGGGGUCUCUGGCCAGGAACGUGGAGUGCAAUGAUCAUUUGCCCUUCACUUUUUUCCUAUGGUGGGUCAGUUUCCAUUUAACAACAUGGCUGCCUGCCAGUGUGCUGAUGGGGCCAAAUUCAGUCUGUGCCUCCUUGUCAGCAAAAGGAUGUGAACGUUCCUCUGAAGGCACAUCAAGGAAUGGGCUUCUGAGCUCCUCGUUGGAACUAACUGGUUCAUGUGUGUCUCAUUCUGGCCAGAGCCCUCACCGAGAGACCGGCAGUCACUUGAUGUCUAGUGGAAACUUCUGGUCCUGCCGUCCUGUUGACUAAGAAACCCGAGGAUGUGGGUACGUACGAGGUCUGUCCUCAUUGCCCAGGCUUCUCUGUUGCACUCCAGACACAAAUCUGCUCUGGCAACCACAUAAGCAGUCCAGUAAAUGAGGGAGGAAGGUCUCUUUCUGAAGGAUGAAAUGUCACUUCUAAAACAGAACUCAUUCUCUCUUUUCAGCUCUCUCAAACUUUCCAUCCUACGAGUGGUGCCAAUAUGCCCCUGAGCUCAAAAUUUUGGCAUCAACAUUGACAGUUUCCUCCGUUCGGCCCUUCAAAUGGAGCCAGCCAUCCAGGCUUCUCAAGUGCGCCUUCAAACUCUCCUAGGAUGAUUUCUUUCCAUUCCUGCUUGGCCUUUGGGUCGUUACAUAGUUGGAUACCUGAGCCUAAAUUCCCCUUCCCUUCAA
rnacentral:lncRNA from 1 species